UACGUAGGGUGCAAGCGUUAUCCGGAAUUAUUGGGCGUAAAGAGCUCGUAGGCGGUUUGUCGCGUCUGCUGUGAAAACUGGAGGCUCAACUUCCAGCCUGCAGUGGGUACGGGCAAACUAGAGUGCGGUAGGGGAGAUUGGAAUUCCUGGUGUAGCGGUGGAAUGCGCAGAUAUCAGGAGGAACACCGAUGGCGAAGGCAGAUCUCUGGGCCGUAACUGACGCUGAGGAGCGAAAGCAUGGGGAGCGAACAGG
rnacentral:rRNA from 1 species